UGUUCUUCCUUUCUUAUUCAUUUGUUUUGUCUAUAGCUGCAAUUGGCGCUUCUCCACUUUGCUCAAAUUGAUUUUAUCCAUCCAAUUUUAUUUUUUACAGAAAAUAUGGAGUGCCUGGAGGUGAUGAAGAAGCAUAUGAAGAUGGUUGAGAAGAUCUAGGUACACUUGUGCAAUCCCCGUUCGGUUCUCUGUUUGAUCCAAGGCAUCAUACAGGAAGUUCGUGGCGGAUGUGCAAGUCAUCUGCAGCUCGUGGUACUGCAGAGAGAGAGAGCAGAUUCAUCUCUCGUUAUUUUAGUUCUGUUCGAAAUGUUGCUCAAGCUUCCUUCCACGCAACCUGUUUGACAUGGGUUAGAUGUGCUGCUGCUAGAAGUUCGAUUGAUUUGCAACUUAGGUUAGCUAGUACACGUUCUCGCUGGAUCCUAUAGAUUGGGGAUGAAUUUUGUACUGGUUGAUCUCGGUGAAAAGAUGAUGUAUCUUUUCUGCUUAAUUUGUCCUCCCAUUUGUGCAGAUAGUCAGUUAGUUUGUGCUAUCUGUAGUUGCAGUUUUCUGGCUCCGGUUUACUUUUUCUGAAUAUUGUAUGUUCAUGGCGAAGCUGUUCAGAGCUUAUGCAAUUUCCAAGUCUGUAGGCACAUGGUGCAACCUAUCUAUUCCAAGAAUUGUUUUGUACUCA